rnacentral:rRNA from 1 species
UACGUAGGGCGCAAGCGUUGUCCGGAAUUAUUGGGCGUAAAGAGCUCGUAGGCGGCUCGUCACGUCGGGGGUGAAAGCCCGGGGCUUAACCCCGGGUCUGCAUUCGAUACGGGCUAGCUAGAGUGUGGUAGGGGAGAUCGGAAUUCCUGGUGUAGCGGUGAAAUGCGCAGAUAUCAGGAGGAACACCGGUGGCGAAGGCGGAUCUCUGGGCCAUUACUGACGCUGAGGAGCGAAAGCGUGGGGAGCGAACAGG